AUGUGUUGUCUUAAGGCACUUAAGGCACUUAAGACACAGCUUUCAGGCAAUGUUUAUGUGUAUGGUGUUGUUCUAUGCCCCUCUGGCUAGCGUCGCCAACAGCCGGAGGGUUACAUGUUUACAUCUGGUAGACAACCAUAAGCCAUCCUAGGUGAAAGUGUGUGUGUGUGUGUGUGUGUGUGUGUGUGUGUGUGUGUGUGUGUGUGUGUGGGUGUGUGUUUUGAUAUAAUAAAGUGUUGAAUAUUAUUAUAUGUAGCCUCUUAAUACAUACCUAUAUAUAUAUAUAUAUAUAUAUAUAUAUAUAGUGGUCGUCGUAUUAUAGGGAUGGGAAUACGGUAAACAACCCCAUAAUCUCCUGUAUAGUAAUAUGCUAUAUAUAUAUACAUAUAAAUAAGCAUAUCAGGGUUAAAAAGAGGUGUUCACCAUAUGAGGGUCCGUUUGUGGAUCACGUAGACAACAUAUUAGGAGUUAUCAUGAUACUAUUAAAGGAUGUUCUAUUAAUUGCGUUUAUUAUAAGAUAUAUGUAUUAACCUACGUAUCAUUAGUAGAUAGUCUAUUGUGUGAAUGAGUAGGCGUAGGCCAAUGGUAUCUAGGCAUGCGCACUAACGGCGUGUCUAUUGGUCAGGAGGUCAUAACACUGGGGGGGGUAGGUGUGUCGGGUAUUCUGUGGAUCACCUAUAGGGGAUAUAUAUCGAACCAGUGCAGAAUGAAGAUAACCCUGAUCCUCCAAACACCCUGAUCCUCCAAACACCCUGAUCCUCCAAACGUCUGAGCGCUAGGCUAAGCUAGUAGACUCGUCAUAGCGGCUGCAGAAGAAAGGAGAAGAAAGAAAAACAGCUACUACAACCUGCACAACUAUGCCUACUGACUUGAUUUCUGACGUCGGCUAUGAGAGCGUGAAAAGGCAUCAGGUUCCACGCGCACCAGGUGCUGAUAUUCGGUUGAAUAAUCAAAGAUCGAUACUCGGUGAUCGGACCAAUGUGGGGGCCAGCAGUAGUUAUGGCGAGUUAUUAGUACACACGCUAUUAUCAUACAUGUAUUACAUCUAUUUUAUUGGGCAUUUAAUAAUGAAUAAAAAAAUAAAUAAAAAAUAAAUAAAGACCAUCCAACCCUAACCCCUGUAUACUUUUGUCUUUUCUGUUUUUUAAUGGUUUACGUAUAGUACCUAUCGUGGAUGGUGUGAAACAGUGGACCCCUGGAUCAAACCGUCUAACCAAGAAAAAUAACAAAAGACCCCAUCUAGGAACGGCUCUACCUCUACCCAGCUCUCCGCUAGCAGUGGUGCAACAGCAGAUCCCGUAUAAAAAGGGACGCAAGGACACCGCACAUAGUGUUUUAACUCCAGAGAAUCUUAACUUGGUUCUCCAUGCUGUUAUAAACCCUGAAAUCGCCCGCCAAGGGGGUGGAUGGUCUGAGUCCAAACAGCCGUUGAUUGAGACAUCAGUUGUACCUGUGUCUGAGCCGCCUGCAGAGACCGUUACUGUACAGCCGGAUGGAGGCAUUCAGCAUGUCCUUGGAGACCCUCAGGAUGCACCACUACCAGAACUGACCGAUGAGGAUCUCGAGGGUCUUACCGACGUUCCGUUGUGGCCCUCAGCGCUGUUGGAACAGCUCGACUUCACUCCCGCUCAUUGGAUAGACCCUCCAGCUACUUCCGUAGUGGGUACCACCAGGGCAGAGCCUGUAAACCAUCAGCCUGCAGCCCCCGCCUCUGGAUCACGACCCAUCCUCAUCCAGGCCUCUAUCCACAAUCCACCAGGCACUGUGAGUCGUCCCACCGCCAUCGGAGCAGUGGCUACGCUGCUACCCGACGGCUCAGCGGCUGCUGCUGAAUACAUAGCGGGUGGUCCACUUACCAACUGUUGUAAGGCUUGUGUUGGUAAAUUAACCUUGGUAACUAAAGCAGUUGAUGUAAACUCCUUAACCAUUGGUCGUCAGUGUAAACUGGGUGCAUUGUCUGUGAAACGUAUUGACAGCAGAUUUCAGACUAUCGAAGAGCAAACUAAGCAGUCACUCGAGACCCUCGGGGAAAUCAAGGACGAGCUAGUGCGUUACGGUCUGGCUAUAGAAUCAAUACAGCAGCAGAUUUUGGUUGUCGAGGCAGCAGUGCGUGUUAACACUCUGGCUUUGGAUAGUGGGCUUCUGAUAUCUAAUAUGGCGCGGAAAAUUUGGCUAAUUGAAACUACGGCGCAGGAUAACAUCAGGGCCUACAAGGCCAUGUCUGCCCAGAUGACUAUCAUGAAUGAUGCUCUGGAUAUGCUUACGAUGAAUCGUUAGUAUUUGAUUUGUGGUUUCGGGGUGUUCUUUUUAUUUUUAUUUUAUUUAUUUUUUUCUUUUCGUUUAUUAUGUGGAGAGGAUAUUUUUUUGUUUUAAA